GGUGGGUUGGCCGAGAGGCGAGGCAGCGGCCUGCAAAGCCGUAUACACGGGUUCAGAGCGAGGCAGCGGCCUGCAAAGCCGUAUACACGGGUUCGAAUCCCGUACCCACCU
rnacentral:tRNA from 1 species